UAGGCUGGGGGCAUCGGCUCACACCUGUAACCUUGGCACCUUGGGAGGCCGAGGCAGGCGGAUCACUUGAGGUCAGGAGUUUGAGAUCAGCCUGGCCAACAUGGUGUAACCCUAUCUCUAACUGCACUUCAACUGAGCCAAAUACUAAGUAAGGGCUGUACCAAAGAGGCAGCUUGACGCCUGGUAACAACUUUACAAUGGAAGUUUCCUAUGAGCUAGUUCCUGACUGCUCUUUGCCCUCAUAUCUUCCUUCCCUCAAGCAUUCCAGAU
rnacentral:lncRNA from 1 species